rnacentral:rRNA from 1 species
GCACCCGCGGUAAUUCCAGCACCAAUAGCGUAUAUUAAUGCUGCUGCUGUUAAAAAGCUCGUAGUUGGAUCUUGAGUCGUACAGUGCACGGUGGCCCUGUUUGCCAUUUUGGGUCCUGCUCAAGUUGGCGGCAGCGGAAUCACCCCGUGCAUCAAACUGUCCGCUUUAUCAGGCCGGAACGGUUCCCUGUGAGUAGGCCCCUUCAUUGGGGUCGAAAGCGCCAACGCAUCAACCAUAUGCAUACGGGACGCCGGCCAAAGUUACUGUGAACAAACCAGCGUGUCCAAAGCAGGCUUGCGCCUGAAUGUUCGAGCAUGGAAUAACAAGGGAUCGAUUCUCUCGGUUCUUUUUGUUGGUUUUUAACCCGAGAAGGAGUAAUUCAGUCCACGGUGUCUGAGUUGGGUUCCCCUAGGCUUCGGCUUAGGCCCCAAUUAGGCCGUGUGCUUACGGGAUCAAUAGGGACUGACGGGGUCGUACGUACUUCCGCGUCAGAGGUGAAAUUCUUAGAUCGCGGGAAGACGAACUUCUGCGAAAGCAUUCGACAAGAAUGUCUUCAUUAAUCAAGAACGAGAGUGUGGGGAUCGAAGAUGAUCAGAUACCGUCGUAGUCCACUACUGUAAACAAUGCCGUCUCAGGAUUGAGAAGUGAACUGAAUGACUUUCACAGCACUAACCCCUGAAACGAGAAAUCAAAGAUUAUGGGUUCAGGGGGGAGUACAUUCGCAAGGCUGAAACUUAAAGGAAUUGACGGAAUGACACCACAAGGCGUGGAGUAUGCGGCUUAAUUUGACUCAACACGGGGAAUUUUACUAGGUCAGGACAAUGUAAGGAUUGACAGAUUGAGAGCUCUUUCUCGAUCCAUUGUGUGGUGGUGCAUGGCCGCUCCUGGUUGGUGGAGUGAUUUGUCUGGUUGAUUCCGUUAACGAACGAGAUCUCGACCCUUAAAUAGGUGCCUGUGUCGCUCGUAGUCUCACUCCGCUGGGCUUGCCCUUCUUGGAUGGGACGAGACUGCGGGAAUACUUCUUAAGGGGACUGUAUGCGUUUAUAGCAUGCGGAAGAGCGAGCCAAUAGCAGGUCUGUGAUGCUCCUAAAUGUCCUAGGCUGCACGCGCACUACACUGAUGCAAUAAACGAGUCUGAGUGCCUUCUGGCAACCUACCUGGAAGCGGGUGGGAAAUCUUUUGAACUUGCAUCGUGAUGAG